rnacentral:tRNA from 1 species
AGAAGCUGUAACUCAGUGGUAGAGUAUCUGCUUGGCAUACAGAAUAUCCCAGGUUCAAGGCCUGGUACCUCCA